rnacentral:rRNA from 1 species
UACAGAGGUCUCAAGCGUUGUUCGGAUUCAUUGGGCGUAAAGGGUGCGUAGGUGGCGCGGUAAGUCGGGUGUGAAAUUUCGGAGCUUAACUCCGAAACUGCAUUCGAUACUGCCGUGCUUGAGGACUGGAGAGGAGACUGGAAUUUACGGUGUAGCAGUGAAAUGCGUAGAGAUCGGAAGGAAGACCAGUGGCGAAGGCGGGUCUCUGGACAGUUCCUGACACUGAGGAACGAAGGCGAGGGGAGCAAACGGG